rnacentral:rRNA from 1 species
UACGUAGGGUGCAAGCGUUUGUCCGGAAUUAUUGGGCGUAAGAGCUCGUAGGCGGUCUGUCGCGUCUGCUGUGAAAACUCAGGGCUUAACCCUGAGCUUGCAGUGGGUACGGGCAGACUAGAGUGCGGUAGGGGAGACUGGAAUUCCUGGUGAUAGCGGUGAAAUGCGCAGAUAUCAGGAGGAACACCGGUGGCGAAGGCGGGUCUCUGGGCCGUAACUGACGCUGGAGGAGCGAAAGCAUGGGGAGCGAACAGG